GUAAUGCGAUAAGUAAUGUGAAUUGCAGAAUUCAGUGAAUCAUCGAAUCUUUGAACGCACAUUGCGCCCGCCAGUAUUCUGGCGGGCAUGCCUGUUCGAGCGUCAUUUCAACCAUCAAGCCCCCGGCUUGUGUUGGGGACCUGCGGCUGCCCGCAGGCCCUGAAAAACAGUGGCGGGCUCGCUGUCACACCGAGCGUAGUAGCAUACAUUCUCGCUCAGGGCGUGCUGCGGGUUCCGGCCGUUAAACGACCUUCAUAACCCAAGGUUGACCUCGGAUCAGGUAGGAAGACCCGCUGAACUUAAGC
rnacentral:misc_RNA from 1 species